CCUACGGGUGGCAGCAGUAAGGAAUAUUGGUCAAUGGGCGCGAGCCUGAACCAGCCAUGCCGCGUGCAGGAAGACGGCCUUAUGGGUUGUAAACUGCUUUUGUCGGGGAAUAAACCUGUCUACGUGUAGACAGCUGAAGGUACCCGAAGAAUAAGCAUCGGCUAACUCCGUGCCAGCAGCCGCGGUAAUACGGAGGAUGCAAGCGUUAUCCGGAUUCAUUGGGUUUAAGGGGUGCGCAUACGUCAGGAUAGAAAUUCAACGGCUCAACUGUUGACCUGCCAUUGAUACUGUCAAUCUAGAGUAUAGUUGGAGUGGGCGGAAUGUGUCAUGUAGCGGUGAAAUGCUUAGAUAUGACACAGAACACCGAUCGCGAAGGCAGCUCACUAAACUAAAACUGACGCUCAUGCACGAAAGCGUGGGGAUCAAACAGGAUUAGAUACCCUUGUAGUC
rnacentral:rRNA from 1 species